rnacentral:rRNA from 1 species
AUGACGUCAAGUCCUCAUGGCCUUUAUGCUUAGGGCUACACACGUGCUACAAUGGGUGGUACAAAGAGAAGCCAACUCGCGAGAGCGAGCAAAUCUCAAAAAGCCAUCCUCAGUUCGGAUUGAAGUCUGCAACUCGACUUCAUGAAGUUGGAAUCGCUAGUAAUCGCGGAUCAGCAUGCCGCGGUCGAAUACGUUCCCGGGCCUU